rnacentral:rRNA from 1 species
AUGGCCGCAAUUUUUCACGCAACCAUGAGGGAUGGGGUGACUGCAUCAGGCGCAGCCUCUCGCGCCAGCCUCGGGAUGCCUCGCAUGACAACCGCCGUGAAGAGGGGUGGGAUGGCCAGGGUGAUGGUGGAGGUCAUUGCCGCUCUGCUGAGCUGGGCGUGGCUGUGGGCCACUCUGUGGUGUUCUAGGGCUCUGGCUUUGCAAGUGAAGACGCGGCCCGCGUUCUCGAGUUUUUGCCCAUGUAGGCCACUCCUUUGGCGGUUGCUGGGCGCGGCUGAAGCCUUCUGCACCAGCUCUCGCCGCGCGCCGCACACCACCGCUCCCAGGAAGACCUCACACCGAUUGCCGCCCACAACCAUGCUCCCACCAUCAUCGUGCUCCGAGAGAAUCGAUGAACACCCCUCUCCGCCAUCGCAGGCUCUCCCAACCGAGGCAUUACUCCAGCUCUACUCGUCGGUCACGCUCCAAGCACCGUUGCUCUGA